rnacentral:rRNA from 1 species
UGAGGAAUAUUGGUCAAUGGCCGGAAGGCUGAACCAGCCAAGUCGCGUGAGGGAAUAAGGCCCUACGGGUCGUAAACCUCUUUUGUCCGGGAGCAAGGAGAUCCACGUGUGGAUGUUCGGAGAGUACCGGAAGAAAAAAGCAUCGGCUAACUCCGUGCCAGCAGCCGCGGUAAUACGGAGGAUGCGAGCGUUAUCCGGAUUUAUUGGGUUUAAAGGGUGCGUAGGCGGCAUGAAAAGUCAGCGGUAAAAUAGCGGGGCUCAACCCCGUCGAGCCGUUGAAACUUUCAGGCUUGAGUGAGCGAGAAGUAUGCGGAAUGCGUGGUGUAGCGGUGAAAUGCAUAGAUAUCACGCAGAACUCCGAUUGCGAAGGCAGCAUACCGGCGCUCAACUGACGCUGAGGCACGAAAGUGCGGGGAUCAAACAGGCUUAGAUACCCUGGUA